rnacentral:rRNA from 1 species
UACGUAGGGUGCAAGCGUUGUCCGGAAUUAUUGGGCGUAAAGAGCUCGUAGGCGGUUUGUUGCGUCGGCUGUGAAAUCCCGAGGCUCAACCUCGGGUCUGCAGUCGAUACGAGCAAACUAGAGUGUUGCAGGGGAGACUGGAAUUCCUGGUGUAGCGGUGAAAUGCGCAGAUACCAGGAGGAACACCGGUGGCGAAGGCGGGUCUCUGGGCAGUAACUGACGCUGAGGAGCGAAAGCGUGGGGAGCAAACAGG